UACGGAGGGUGCAAGCGUUAUCCGGAAUCACUGGGUUUAAAGGGUGCGUAGGCGGCUAGUUAAGUCCGUGGUGAAAGGCUGUGGCUCAACCAUGGGAUUGCCAUUGAUACUGACUAGCUUGAAUCAGGAUGAGGUUGGCGGAAUGUGGCAUGUAGCGGUGAAAUGCUUAGAUAUGCCAUGGAACACCGAUUGCGAAGGCAGCUGACUGGACCUUGAUUGACGCUGAGGCACGAAAGCGUGGGGAGCGAACAGG
rnacentral:rRNA from 1 species